CUUUAGUUAGUAUAUUUGUACGUUUACCUUCCAAGUAAAAAGGCUGGAAUACCAGACUAAAG
rnacentral:tRNA from 1 species